rnacentral:rRNA from 1 species
GACGAACCGUGCGAACGUUAUUCGGAAUCACUGGGCUUAAAGCGCGUGUAGGCGGGACGGCACGUCUGUCGCUGAAAUCCCCCGGCUUAACCGGGGAACUGGCGUAGAUACGACCGUCCUGGAGGGGCGUAGGGGGAUCUGGAACUUCCGGUGGAGCGGUGAAAUGCGUUGAGAUCGGCAGGAACACCCAGGGGGAAACCAGCCGACUGGGGAUGUACUGACGCUGAGACGCGAAAGCGUGGGGAGCAAACAGG